AUCAAGCUGGACAGAUACUGUUUUGUUCGUUCAAUUAACAUUCAUUGAGAGCCUACUUCCGUGCCAGGCGCGAUUCUAGACCCACGGCCAGUGAAAACACGACAAGAUACACAGCACCUGCUGCUACGGCGCUUGCGCUGCAGUGAAGCAGGACCACAGAGCCCGGCUUCAUGAAGGUCCCUGCACAGCCCGGCCCCAGCCAGGUUCCACGGCCUCCCCCCGAGCAGGGCUCACAGGCUCUCUGUGGCCCACCCUGGCCCCUCUCCCUUCAAAGCAGAGAUUUCAGCCCGACAUGCCCCCUGCGGGAAGCCUGCCCUGGCGCGGUCAGAGAAUGACAGUCGGACUGGUCUCCUGUCUCUGAUGCUGACAACCAGCAAACAACAGAGAAGCCCGUGCUGGGACCCGAGGCAUCAGCAAGAAGACCAGCAGGCGGGUGGGCUCACGAGGACCCGGAAGGUAAAGCACUCCUCGACCCCCCCCUCCCCCCGUCUAAAGAAAACCAACCAAGACCAAUUAAAAGGGAC